CAGCCCCGCCUCUUCCCUUUUCCGGGUCACGGGAAGCCCCGCCCCCGCUCAGGCCCCGCCCUCCUGGCGAGCCGCGGGCGACGGGCUGAUGGCGGAGCCGGGCCCCGAGGAGGAGGAGCUGGCGCACGCCGAGGUGCUCGAGCUGUUCCAGGAGGGGCUGGCCCGCCUCGUGCAGGACCCGCUGCUGUGCGACCUCCCCGUGCAGGUCACCGUGGAGGAGAUCAAUUCUCAGAUUGCGCUGGAGUAUGGCCAAGCCAUGACUGUGCGGGUGUGCAAGGCGGAUGAAGAAGUGAUGCCUGUAGUAGUGGUACAGAAUGCCAGUGUCCUGGACCUGAAGAAAGCCAUCCAGCGAUAUGUGCAGCUGAAGCAGGAGCGGGAAGGGGGCAUACAGCACAUUAGCUGGACCUAUGUAUGGAGAACAUAUCACUUAACCUUUGCUGGAGAGAAAAUGACAGAUGACAAAAAGAAGCUGCGAGAGUACGGCAUCAGAAAUCGGGAUGAGGUCUGCUUUAUAAAGAAGCUUCGAAAGUGACCUGUAAGCUCCAGGUGCAGCAUUCCCUCUGCUGGAAAAGGACUCAGUCCAGGCCGUUACUGCAGCAGGACCAGCCUGCACAUUCAGCAUCUUUCCAGAAGAGAAACUUGUGGCAUUUCAAAGCAGAGCAGAUGCAGGAGGUGAUAAAUUCUUGUAUAGUCACUGAACUCUGGAAGAUAUAAGCAAGGACAGAGGUCAUCUUUGGCAUCCAUCACCAGACAGACACAAGGGCCCAGAGCUCUGCAAGCUGAAAAAGAUGGGCCCUUCAACCAAGGAGGGGCUGAAGCCACUGGAAACUGAAUAUAGGUGAGAAACCUGCUUAGGCCAAGACCUUUCACCUAGGAAGACAAAAGAAGCCAGCCUCUUGUGCUUUUGUGGAAGGCCCUGACUGAGGGAAAGUCAACCACGGCUGGAAAGAAGAAUGACUGAUGAGAGAAACCAUCUUUAACAAAGCCUGUACCUUGCUAGAUUAAGUUUUAAACUUUAGAUAUGUGCUUUCACUUGUAUUUUCUUGUAACAUCUCUACUUUUAUUUCUUUUACUUGGCAUCACA